AUGUGCUUGUCGAUCUUCUUGGCCUCACGGUACUUGCGCAGAAGGCGCCUGAGGACGCGCAUCCUCCGCAUCCACAGGAUCUUGGUGGGGAGCCUAGCCUCCCUGGUACCCCUACGCUUACCUGUGCAGAGAGCAGAAUCACAGAGUGACGGCCCUUCUGCUUGGCCUCAUGUGCCCUCCUUGCACGAGACCUGGAGUGGAUCUUCUGAGGCUUCCUGA
rnacentral:rRNA from 1 species